AGCGUACACGGUGGAUGCCCUGGCAGUCAGAGGCGAUGAAGGACGUGCUAAUCUGCGAUAAGCGUCGGUAAGGUGAUAUGAACCGUUAUAACCGGCGAUUUCCGAAUGGGGAAACCCAGUGUGAUUCGUCACACUAUCAUUAACUGAAUCCAUAGGUUAAUGAGGCGAACCGGGGGAACUGAAACAUCUAAGUACCCCGAGGAAAAGAAAUCAACCGAGAUUCCCCAGUAGCGGCGAGCGAACGGGGAGCAGCCCAGAGCCUGAAUCAGUGUGUGUGUUAGUGGAAGCGUCUGGAAAGGCGUGCGAUACAGGGUGACAGCCCCGUACACAAAAAUGCACAUAUUGUGAGCUCGAUGAGUAGGGCGGGACACGUGGUAUCCUGUCUGAAUAUGGGGGGACCAUCCUCCAAGGCUAAAUACUCCUGACUGACCGAUAGUGAACCAGUACCGUGAGGGAAAGGCGAAAAGAACCCCGGCGAGGGGAGUGAAAAAGAACCUGAAACCGUGUACGUACAAGCAGUGGGAGCACGCUUAGGCGUGUGACUGCGUACCUUUUGUAUAAUGGGUCAGCGACUUAUAUUCUGUAGCAAGGUUAACCGAAUAGGGGAGCCGAAGGGAAACCGAGUCUUAACUGGGCGUUAAGUUGCAGGGUAUAGACCCGAAACCCGGUGAUCUAGCCAUGGGCAGGUUGAAGGUUGGGUAACACUAACUGGAGGACCGAACCGACUAAUGUUGAAAAAUUAGCGGAUGACUUGUGGCUGGGGGUGAAAGGCCAAUCAAACCGGGAGAUAGCUGGUUCUCCCCGAAAGCUAUUUAGGUAGCGCCUCGUGAAUUCAUCUCCGGGGUAGAGCACUGUUUCGGCAAGGGGGUCAUCCCGACUUACCAACCCGAUGCAAACUGCGAAUACCGGAGAAUGUUAUCACGGGAGACACACGGCGGGUGCUAACGUCCGUCGUGAAGAGGGAAACAACCCAGACCGCCAGCUAAGGUCCCAAAGUCAUGGUUAAGUGGGAAACGAUGUGGGAAGGCCCAGACAGCCAGGAUGUUGGCUUAGAAGCAGCCAUCAUUUAAAGAAAGCGUAAUAGCUCACUGGUCGAGUCGGCCUGCGCGGAAGAUGUAACGGGGCUAAACCAUGCACCGAAGCUGCGGCAGCGACACUAUGUGUUGUUGGGUAGGGGAGCGUUCUGUAAGCCUGUGAAGGUGUACUGUGAGGUAUGCUGGAGGUAUCAGAAGUGCGAAUGCUGACAUAAGUAACGAUAAAGCGGGUGAAAAGCCCGCUCGCCGGAAGACCAAGGGUUCCUGUCCAACGUUAAUCGGGGCAGGGUGAGUCGACUCCUAAGGCGAGGCCGAAAGGCGUAGUCGAUGGGAAACAGGUUAAUAUUCCUGUACUUGGUGUUACUGCGAAGGGGGGACGGAGAAGGCUAUGUUGGCCGGGCGACGGUUGUCCCGGUUUAAGCGUGUAGGCUGGUUUUCCAGGCAAAUCCGGAAAACUAAGGCUGAGGCGUGAUGACGAGGCACUACGGUGCUGAAGCAACAAAUGCCCUGCUUCCAGGAAAAGCCUCUAAGCAUCAGGUAACAUCAAAUCGUACCCCAAACCGACACAGGUGGUCAGGUAGAGAAUACCAAGGCGCUUGAGAGAACUCGGGUGAAGGAACUAGGCAAAAUGGUGCCGUAACUUCGGGAGAAGGCACGCUGAUAUGUAGGUGAAGUCCCUCGCGGAUGGAGCUGAAAUCAGUCGAAGAUACCAGCUGGCUGCAACUGUUUAUUAAAAACACAGCACUGUGCAAACACGAAAGUGGACGUAUACGGUGUGACGCCUGCCCGGUGCCGGAAGGUUAAUUGAUGGGGUCAGCGCAAGCGAAGCUCUUGAUCGAAGCCCCGGUAAACGGCGGCCGUAACUAUAACGGUCCUAAGGUAGCGAAAUUCCUUGUCGGGUAAGUUCCGACCUGCACGAAUGGCGUAAUGAUGGCCAGGCUGUCUCCACCCGAGACUCAGUGAAAUUGAACUCGCUGUGAAGAUGCAGUGUACCCGCGGCAAGACGGAAAGACCCCGUGAACCUUUACUAUAGCUUGACACUGAACAUUGAGCCUUGAUGUGUAGGAUAGGUGGGAGGCUUUGAAGUGUGGACGCCAGUCUGCAUGGAGCCGACCUUGAAAUACCACCCUUUAAUGUUUGAUGUUCUAACGUUGACCCGUAAUCCGGGUUGCGGACAGUGUCUGGUGGGUAGUUUGACUGGGGCGGUCUCCUCCUAAAGAGUAACGGAGGAGCACGAAGGUUGGCUAAUCCUGGUCGGACAUCAGGAGGUUAGUGCAAUGGCAUAAGCCAGCUUGACUGCGAGCGUGACGGCGCGAGCAGGUGCGAAAGCAGGUCAUAGUGAUCCGGUGGUUCUGAAUGGAAGGGCCAUCGCUCAACGGAUAAAAGGUACUCCGGGGAUAACAGGCUGAUACCGCCCAAGAGUUCAUAUCGACGGCGGUGUUUGGCACCUCGAUGUCGGCUCAUCACAUCCUGGGGCUGAAGUAGGUCCCAAGGGUAUGGCUGUUCGCCAUUUAAAGUGGUACGCGAGCUGGGUUUAGAACGUCGUGAGACAGUUCGGUCCCUAUCUGCCGUGGGCGCUGGAGAACUGAGGGGGCUGCUCCUAGUACGAGAGGACCGGAGUGGACGCAUCACUGGUGUUCGGGUUGUCAUGCCAAUGGCACUGCCCGGUAGCUAAAUGCGGAAGAGAUAAGUGCUGAAAGCAUCUAAGCACGAAACUUGCCCGAGAUGAGUUCUCCCUGACUCCUUGA
rnacentral:rRNA from 1 species